GUGGACGGCCACAUUGGGACUGAGAUACGGCCCAGACUCCUACGGGAGGCAGCAGUGGGGAAUAUUGCACAAUGGGCGCAAGCCUGAUGCAGCGACGCCGCGUGGGGGAUGACGGCCUUCGGGUUGUAAACUCCUUUCGUUAGGGACGAAGCCACACCUUUUUUUGGGUGUGGUGACGGUACCUUUGUUAAGAAGCACCGGCUAACUACGUGCCAGCAGCCGCGGUAAUACGUAGGGUGCGAGCGUUGUCCGGAAUUACUGGGCGUAAAGAGCUCGUAGGUGGUUUGUUGCGUCGUCUGUGAAAUUCCGGGGCUUAACUUCGGGGUGGCAGGCGAUACGGGCAUAACUAGAGUGCUGUAGGGGAGACUGGAAUUCCUGGUGUAGCGGUGGAAUGCGCAGAUAUCAGGAGGAACACCGAUGGCGAAGGCAGGUCUCUGGGCAGUAACUGACGCUGAGGAGCGAAAGCAUGGGGAGCGAACAGGAUUAGAUACCCUGGUAGUCCAUGCUGUAAACGGUGGGCGUUAGGUGUGGGGACCGGUUUUGGUUUCUGUGCCGUAGCUAACGCAUUAAGCGCCCCGCCUGGGGAGUACGGCCGCAAGGCUAAAACUCAAAGGAAUUGACGGGGGCCCGCACAAGCGGCGGAGCAUGCGGAUUAAUUCGAUGCAACGCGAAGAACCUUACCAAGGCUUGACAUGGGCCGGUGGUUCCCGGAGACGGGAGCGUCCCCUUUUUGUGGGCUGGUUCACAGGUGGUGCAUGGUUGUCGUCAGCUCGUGUCGUGAGAUGUUGGGUUAAGUCCC
rnacentral:rRNA from 1 species